rnacentral:rRNA from 1 species
GACGAACGCUGGCGGCGUGCUUAACACAUGCAAGUCGAACGGAAAGGCCCUGCUUUUGUGGGGUGCUCGAGUGGCGAACGGGUGAGUAACACGUGAGUAACCUGCCCUUGACUUUGGGAUAACUUCAGGAAACUGGGGCUAAUACCGGAUAGGAGCUCCUGCUGCAUGGUGGGGGUUGGAAAGUUUCGGCGGUUGGGGAUGGACUCGCGGCUUAUCAGCUUGUUGGUGGAGUAGUGGCUUACCAAGGCUUUGACGGGUAGCCGGCCUGAGAGGGUGACCGGCCACAUUGGGACUGAGAUACGGCCCAGAAUCCUACGGGAGGCAGCAGUGGGGAAUAUUGCACAAUGGGCGGAAGCCUGAUGCAGCAACGCCGCGUGGGGGAUGACGGCCUUCGGGUUGUAAACCGCUUUCGCCUGUGACGAAGCGUGAGUGACGGUAAUGGGUAAAGAAGCACCGGCUAACUACGUG